AUAUUUUUUUUGCAAGUGUUUCAAAGGGUGUGGUUUAAUUUUUAGUGAGAACUGAGUAGUGAAAGAAUAGGUUAUUUACCAAGAAACACAAGCAGGAUUUCAGUGGCAUUGAUGAGACAUUGUUACAUGAUUGUAAAGCUUCAUAUUUAUGCUACCACAGAGAACUAUCAAGAUUGAGAUGAUGUACAUUACAGCAUAGGCGGCUAUAGGCCCGGGCAAGCCAGGGCAUUGCACUGGUAGUUUUCAACCAAAACCACACCCAAAAGCCAAAACUGUUUAUACUUGCUAUCAGCUCCA